rnacentral:siRNA from 1 species
CAAAGGCGGACCGGCCGACCCAUC